AUUCCAGCUCCAAUAGCGUAUAUUAAAGUUGUUGCAGUUAAAAAGCUCGUAGUUGGAUUUCCGGCGUGAGGGAUCAGUCUGACUUCUAGUCAGUACUUGGUCCUCUCAUGCCGUCCUUGAAUGGUGCAUCCUGGCAUUAAGUUGUCGGGGUGAGAGCCGUUCAUCGUUUACUGUGAGAAAAUUAGAGUGUUCAAAGCAGGCUUAUGCCGUUGAAUAUAUUAGCAUGGAAUAAUAAGAUAGGACUUUGGUACUAUUUUGUUGGUUUGAGAACCAAGGUAAUGAUCAAUAGGGACAGUUGGGGGUAUUCGUAUUCAGUUGUCAGAGGUGAAAUUCUUAGAUUUCCGGAAGACGAACUACUGCGAAAGCAUUUACCAAGGAUGUUUUCAUUA
rnacentral:rRNA from 1 species